GACGGUGGUCAUAGUGGCAGGGAAACGCCCGGUACCCAUACCGAACCCGGUAGCUAAGCCUGCUAACGCCGAUGGUACUGCACUCGAGGGAGUGUGGGAGAGUAGGACACCGCCGUCA
rnacentral:rRNA from 1 species